rnacentral:rRNA from 1 species
UUUUUACGGAGAGUUUGAUCCUGGCUCAGGACGAACGCUGGCGGCGUGCCUAAUACAUGCAAGUCGAGCGCGGGAAGCCGGCGGACUCCUUCGGGAGGAAACCGGUGGAACGAGCGGCGGACGGGUGAGUAACACGUGGGCAACCUGCCGGACUGAUGGGAAUAACCCCGGGAAACCGGGGCUAAUGCCCAAUACGCCCUGACCUCGCCUGAGGUCAGCGGUAAAGCAGGGAUCUUCGGAUCCUUGCACAGUCCGAUGGGCCCGCGGCGCAUUAGCUAGUUGGAGAGGUAAGGGCUCCCCAAGGCGACGAUGCGUAGCCGACCUGAGAGGGUGAUCGGCCACACUGGGACUGAGACACGGCCCAGACUCCUACGGGAGGCAGCAGUAGGGAAUCAUCCGCAAUGGGCGAAAGCCUGACGGUGCAACGCCGCGUGAGUGAUGAAGGUUUUCGGAUCGUAAAGCUCUGUUGACAGGGAAGAACCCACGCCAGUCGAACAGGCUGGCGUGCUGACGGUACCUGUCCAGAAAGCCCCGGCUAACUACGUGCCAGCAGCCGCGGUAAUACGUAGGGGGCAAGCGUUGUCCGGAAUUAUUGGGCGUAAAGGGCACGCAGGCGGUUUCGUCAGUCCGAUGUGACAGGCCACGGCUCAACCGUGGAAGGCCAUUGGAAACUGCGAAACUUGAGGACAGAAGAGGAGAGUGGAAUUCCACGUGUAGCGGUGAAAUGCGUAGAUAUGUGGAGGAACACCAGUGGCGAAGGCGACUCUCUGGUCUGUACCUGACGCUGAGGUGCGAAAGCAUGGGGAGCAAACAGGAUUAGAUACCCUGGUAGUCCAUGCCGUAAACGCUGAGUGCUAGGUGUUAGGGGUUUCGAUACCCGUAGUGCCGAAGCUAACGCAUUAAGCACUCCGCCUGGGGAGUACGACCGCAAGGUUGAAACUCAAAGGAAUUGACGGGGGCCCGCACAAGCGGUGGAGCAUGUGGUUUAAUUCGACGCAACGCGAAGAACCUUACCAGAUCUUGACAUCUUCCGCUACGCCUCGAGAGAGGCGGUUCCCCUUCGGGGGACGGAAUGACAGGUGGUGCAUGGUUGUCGUCAGCUCGUGUCGUGAGAUGUUGGGUUAAGUCCCGCAACGAGCGCAACCCCUAAUCUUAGUUGCCAGCAUUCAGUUGGGCACUCUAAGGUGACUGCCGGUGACAAACCGGAGGAAGGUGGGGAUGACGUCAAAUCAUCAUGCCCCUUAUGAUCUGGGCUACACACGUGCUACAAUGGAUGGUACAACGGGACGCGAACCCGCGAGGGGGAGCCAAUCCAGAAAAGCCAUUCUCAGUUCGGAUUGCAGGCUGCAACUCGCCUGCAUGAAGCCGGAAUCGCUAGUAAUCGCGGAUCAGCAUGCCGCGGUGAAUACGUUCCCGGGCCUUGUACACACCGCCCGUCACACCACGAGAGUUUGCAACACCCGAAGUCGGUGAGGGAACCCUUCUGGGACCCAGCCGCCGAAGGUGGGGCAGAUGAUUGGGGUGAAGUCGUAACAAGGUAUCCCUACCGGAAGGUGGGGAUGGAUCACCUCCUUUCU